UUUGAGCCAGUGUGACUUUCAUCUGGGGCAUUGGCAGCUAAUCAGAGACAAGUUAUGGAAAAUUUGGAUGAGGAAGUGGGACCUAAGGAGUGUUUGGAGAUGGAAUCUGUCGAAAGGAUAGGGGACAAGGAACAUAUACAAGGCAUAUUAAGCACUUGAAGGAAAGAGAUGAUCGCUGGAUAGCUACAAUCUUAGACCCUCUAUAUGAAGCCAAAAUGGAGGAAUUUUUUUCUCACCUUCCAAGAGGAGGGAUAAACUGGAUUUUUAUAUGGAGAAGCCACAGCUUUUUAGCAGCAAAACCUGAUGGACAGGGGUUAAUUCUCCACUCCUCGCUAAGUCAAGGCUCCACUUCCUCUGCCAGCACUACCCCUGCAAGAGGCAGGAAAAGUAGCAGCACUCCAUGCGAGUCCCGGCUCCGAUCUGCUGAUAGAGUCUGCUGUGACAGGUUUUAGACACUUUUGUAGUAAUGCAGGCUGCAGAAGUCGAGUCAGGGGAAGCCAGGAUGGGGGAGGAAGAUUCCGUACAGGCUGCAUGAUGCUGGCCAGGCAGACAUCAGAGAGCACAUGAAGAGGGAAUUCCCUUCUCUUGUCCUUGUCCCAACUCCAGAAGCCCCAGCUCCCUUUACUGCUCUCCUUACAUGAUGUGUGUGGCAACCCUUUCUACCAGAGCCCCUUAGUAGAAGAUUAAUAAAGAGCAUUGGAUGCCAUUUUGUCAUGCACCAUUCAAUUAAUAGUUUGGAAAAUUCUGCA